GACGAACGCUGGCGGCGUGCUUAACACAUGCAAGUCAAACGGUAAGGCCCUUCGGGGUACACGAGUGGCGAACGGGUGAGUAACACGUGGGUGAUCUGCCCUGCACUUCGGGAUAAGCCUGGGAAACUGGGUCUAAUACCGGAUAGGACCACUGCCUGCAUGGGGGGUGGUGGAAAGCUUUUGCGGUGUGGGAUGGGCCCGCGGCCUAUCAGCUUGUUGGUGGGGUGAUGGCCUACCAAGGCGACGACGGGUAGCCGGCCUGAGAGGGUGACCGGCCACACUGGGGCUGAGAUACGGCCCAGACUCCUACGGGAGGCAGCAGUGGGGAAUAUUGCACAAUGGGCGCAAGCCUGAUGCAGCGACGCCGCGUGAGGGAUGACGGCCUUCGGGUUGUAAACCUCUUUCAGCACCGACGAAGCGCAAGUGACGGUAGGUGCAGAAGAAGGACCGGCCAACUACGUGCCAGCAGCCGCAGUAA
rnacentral:rRNA from 1 species